AUUGAGGUGGGGCAGCCUGCUCAGUCCUUCGAGGUGGCUGCCGUGGCCCCUGCCUUUGCCACAGCUGUGUCCUCAAGAACCUUGUCCUUGGACUCGGCCGUCAAGAUGUAAAUGAAAUUUGGCAGGAGCUGAGAUGGAAGAGUCCGGCUUGUGGUGGGCACGGCAUCCCACGUGCCUGCAGGAGCAGACAGAGUGGCCUUUGAGUGCAGAGUCACUGGCAUUUGCCGGCCACGUGGGGCCUGGGCCGGGAGCUGAUGGUGGCAGCUCCUGGUGAGGGAUUCAGGGCUGUGAGUCACAGGGCAGGAGCUCCUGCAGAAGCUGGCCUGAGAGUUGGCACUGGGCUUCAUUCUGUGCCCUUCUGGAAAAUGCAUUGAGAGAGGAGGCUCCCUGGGGCCCUUGCGGCUGAACCCUCCCCUGUCCAACGCCCGAGGAAACUCAGGAAAGAUGCUGGGCUCGUACCUGUCAGAAUGUCGGUGAGACAGCAGUACAAUUAUCCCCUGGGCUCUGCUGCGGGAACGGGCUGGGAGCAACUCAGAAUGCCCCAGAUGAGUCAGGAAGUGGAGUGUGGGAGUGUGUGUGUGACAGACAGAGUCACACAGACAGACAGGGCACGUAACCAUGGAUGAUUAAUUCAGCCCUUUUCUAGUUGGUGGGGGGGGACCCACUGCCUUGGAGAGUGGGUUCUGCCCCAGGGUGACACGUUCCUCCAAUGACUCUGUCGCCCCAGGGCUCCAGCAGGGCAGCUUGCUGGGCGCUGAGCCUUGCUGGCGUUUGUGUGGUGCCCCUCCUCCGGCUCCUGUGUCCCAGGAGGCUGGCAGGUGAGUGUGUGCACAGGGCCUACGCCUCCUGCAUCUUUGAGCAGUUGUGGACAUUGUCCUGGGAGCACAGGUGUGGGAUCGUUUUCUUCUGUGUGUCUCGUCAUGUGUCUCCCGCCUCCACCGAAGGACUGAUGUGGCAGAGGGCUGCCGAGGCAUCCUGAGAAAACCCCGCGGCUGUUCUAAGCCCUGCCACUCACCUGCCCCAGGACACCUGUCACACUUGCCCUGGGUGGUACAAAGGCAUUGCCGCCCACUGGCCAGUCUGAAAGUUCUGUGCUUUCAUUUGUUUGCCCAAGGCAAUGGGCAGCUAUGAUCCCAUCUCCAGGAGUGUCCAGUUGUGAACUGCCCUCUGGGAUGAGUGCUGUGACUUCUGUUUAGCCUCAAAAUAGAGAUUUUCCUGUCUCUGGUAUUAAUCAACUUCUGCAUGGAUGGGAGACCAUGCUUCAGAGAACCCAGCCUCCUCCAGCCCAGCCUUGCUUUUGGAAUGGCACUCAGCUGCCCUUCUGGGUCGGUUAUGAAAGACUCCUUCCCCACGGCACUGUCUGGCAUUGCCGGUUGGGGGCUGAUUCAUUCUGGCAGAUUCUAAAAAAUAACUGGGUGUGUUGGUGGUUGUGUACACUAUGGCGCUUCUCUUCGAGACUGAUUUACAGCAUUAAAGGGGGAUUGAUCCAUCCCCCAGCCCCACCCUGCCUAGGGAGAGAGACCGGAAAUAACUUAAUGAGACAAAUCCAGCUUGCGUAAUGGAAGGCUCUGGAGUGCGAACCCUCUUUACUGCCGUUCUGCCUUUAAAACCAGGCCGGAGGUAGUGUUUGCAAACAUGAGGUGGGAUUUCUUUUUCGAGCCGUAACCUGCCUUGGAAUCUCAUGGGCCUAUUUGCGGGUGUCGGGGAAGUUGAUGCUGCCCAGAUGGGCUGUUAGAAUUUUCCACACAGGCUCAUACUCACCACAUCUCCGCACAUGCCCAGCUCUGGGUCUCUCCCUCUCUCUCUCCUUUCUCUCUCUUUGUCUUUCCAUUGUUCUUCCUUAACACUUAGCGUUGGGACUCAGUCCACCGGCAGUUGGUGGGGGGAGUGCGAGCCCACAGCAGUGACCAUCCCUGCCCUGGGAACAGCCGUCCUCUUGACUGGGAGGCGGCCACAGACUCUUCCCUGGCUUGGCACUCGCCGGGUCUGAAGCCGCUCAGUUAAUUUUGCAGUAACGUCGGCGGACUCCUGCAGCAUGCGUAAACCUAUCAAGUGUUUUAUUCAAGGACUAAGGAGGCCGUUGAAUGUCUCACAACCCUCACACUCUGUAUAGUCACGUGUUAGUGGCCUGUUGCAUACAUAUGCUCUGUGUGUUAUCUGGGUCUGUCUUCAGAAUAGCUUAUUCCUCGUUCGUCCGGCGGCUGGUGUGAUGUGUGUUCCCUUGUGUUCCCUUGGGAAGAGCCCACCGCCUCCCGGGAUUCUGGUGUAAUUCAUUUGACUCCAGAAUGGUCAAAGGAGGGGAGACCCUGCCACUGGGCCUCAGGGGUGCUGAGUAAAUCCAGUGGCUGUGAAAGGAGUAACAGUAAAUUGACAAACUGAUUGAAGGAGAUGGAAAACACACGCACACACGCUUGCAUAAAGUCUACUCACGCAUAGGCACGCACUCCCGACUGUGUCAAGCUGUUAGGGGCUCUUUUCAGUUGGUUAACUGCACAUAGUAAGGUAUAAUUCAGUGAGUAAUUUAGUGAGUACGUGUUAAGUGUUGGAUACGGGCCCGGCCCUUGACUUAUGUUAUCUCACUCAAUUCUUCUCUGGGAUGCUGGUGGGUGUACUGCCCAUUUUGUAGAUUGCUACAUGGAGUCUUGGUGGGACUGCACCUUUGACUCAAGGUCGCAGCCUUAUGAAAGCUCACAGACUUCUCCUCUAGGCUUGUCUGAUAAUAGAACCCAAACCCUGGGCCCGUUCCAGCUGCUGAUCAACCCCCAAGAUAGACUUAGGGUGGGGAGGGUGCAAAAGAGAAGGAAAAAUGGUGUCCCCUCUGGGUGCCCAGGGACAGUGCCAGGAACCUGGGCCUACAUGGCCUCAUUGCUUCUGCACAGCGGAUUUUGGUGUCAUCCAGCCCAUUUGACAAAGGUGGACGAUACAGGUCAGGGAGGUGAAGUCUCAGCAAAGGUCACCCAGGUAAGGCAGUAUAACAGCCAGAAUUCACACCCUACCUCCUCCAAGUCUAGAACUGUCCAUCUUUCCACAGGCUCCAUCAGAGUUUGCCACCUUCUUUUUAGGUUUCCCUCGUUGUCAUGCUUCUUUCCUCUUCCUCUUCCCGUCUUGCCUGAGGUGGCAGCUGUCCCGGCUGUUUAUUUCAGGUGGCAAUCAAGAUGGGUAAGAUCGAUGUCUUGGGGCUCUGAGCUAAGGGAGUCUAAACAUGUCAUUACUGUAAGAGGAGUGGGUGCAGGAUGGCACAUUGAGAGCUUGAAAUGACUCAAGUUGGAGGCUUGUAAACCCUUUUUUGCUUUUCUCCCACCUUCCUCCCAGAAGAUUUACCCCCCCUCCCCCUGAUCCCCGGGUUAGGGAUGUCAUUACUUGUUUAUAUUUAAGAUGAGAUCAUGAAGUGCGGCCAUCGGCGUAAGGACUCUGCUGACUUGGGUGCCGUCCUCACCCCUGGGUAGCUGUUCUGUUGCCCUCGUUGGAGGAAGGUUUCCUAGUGGACGUUAUCUGUGCUGACGAUUUCAUGCCUACAGGAAUGAUGUAUACAGACCGUUCCGAAAAAUGGCACGUAAACAGGGCUCUAGAUGCGCACAUACAGACCGAGGCCGUCCAUCGGGCUGUCCUGCUCCGUUCCCCCUGCACGGCCAUCCGGACGAGCCCAGCGUGGUAAUUAAAAAGCCCUGGGAUCAAAGCAACUCCAAGUGCCAGGGCUUCCUCCCUUCUCCCUGUAGGCCCCUCCUUCUUAAAUUCUCACUUAUAGGAUUUGCGAGAUCAAAAAGAGGCCUUUAAAUUAAUGAAUUCUCGGCUUCGUCCCGGAUGGAGCAGUUCUGCACCUUUCAGCUGUUCACCUCGAUGAGAGGGCUGCUCGGUGCCGAGCUCGCUAGGUAAUUCUCACUUUAUAUAACUCCUGUGAAAGCAGAGCGGGCCGCAUCUGGAGGCUCCCAAUUAUACUUCACAUGGUGAACUGUGUAAUUAGUUUGGAAGACUUACGCUUAGUCAUUGGUUUACCCUAAUCGGCUUUGGCUUUCCCCACCAACAAAGUGAGCUUAUUUUGCUAAGCUGAACCGACUCUGCACCCUUUGUUCCAGCCUUUUAUUGUCUCAUUCCUUUCAUUCUGUUUUACUGCCAAAGUUCUGUUUCAUUAGGCCUACAAGUCAUUUCCAAUUCAGUGGGCUGCUACAAUCCGGCCUUUAUCACUCGGCUGCCCUGGUUCCCAUGUCCCUUCUGGGCCAGUGCCCGAGUUUGCGGUUUGACGUGAGGGCUUUAACCCUUUCCUGGGCCAGCCCCUCACUGUGGUGGACGGGAAGCCAAGGCCCUAAAGGAGGAGGUGGUGGUUUGGAAAGUUCCAGCUCUUUAGGGGAGCCCCGUGGAAAUGGGGCGAAAAGGGGCCUUCGAGUCCUUUUGUUGGGUUGGGGUUGUGUGUGGGCUAUAAAAGUUAACUUGAGCUACAGAGAAUGGUGCUUGAAAGCUUUUGGGGGAAAAAAAUGGAAAACAAGAAUGAAUUGGCUUUUUAAUAUAAUGAGAUCUCAUUGAUUGCACUUGGGAGAGGGCCCACUGAGGGAGUGUUGGCUGCCUGUUACGUUUUAGCUCCAGGCUUUAUGUGCAGGUACGAUGCUGGCACCCCCGGCCACCGCUCAGAUGCCCCUUUUGAUGCUGUAUGUGUGAGGAGAGAAACAUCUAGAAUAAAAAUAUCAUAAAGCCUUUGAAAUGUGAAAGGCAGGAGAUUUGUGAGAAAAUGAAUAAGCAAGUUAACCGUAUUCCUGAGAGUGGACUCUGAUUUUAUUGCUUCCUAAUGCAAAUUGCAGAUAAACAGAGCUCCAUGAGGUGUGCGGUUCUUUCCGACCAGGCCUGGAGUACAAAAGUCCUGCCUGUCCUUCGUGGGCCUCACAGCUCCCACGAGGCCUGCAUCUUCUGAAGUGGUUUGUAUAGGCGGACUCACUGGAAAGCGGUCGGUGUGCCCGGGCCUCGCCUGUCACCUGCUGGCCUUUGCUCUGGAGGGCCGUGACGUUCCUCAGACCUUGACUGAGAACUCUAGAGUGGACCAGGAAGGACCAUUGGCUCUCCCCUCCCUGGCCGGUCACGCUGAAGGCUACCUGCAGGUUUAAACUUUCUUCCUGUAAAAUAGCCCAGAACAAGGCCAACACUGUCCUGGUGUUUGAUUAAAUCUGCCUGGUUUGUGUCAGUCUCUCCCUUUGGAAGCUUUCAUACGGGGGAGGGGACUUGAUUUGCCCUGUGACCCCUGGCAGAGCUGCUGAGGGCAAAAAGUCUCAGCAAACAGGAGACUCCUGCCUCAUCUGCCUGCCUCGGCCUCCUGGGCCAGGUGGUGGCAAACAAGCGAGCAGGACCCACAAGUAAUAUGAGCCUUGGGCUUUGCAGGUAAACCCUCUUGCCAGAGGACUUUGUGUCUUCCUGAUGAACUUUUCCCUCCGUCUCUGCUGCAGCCGGUGGGGAGAGCUGCGUUCGAAACAGAUUGAACACCUCAACCUCACUUCUCCUAAAUCCUCUAUUUUUAUUCUGCUUCAAAAAGGAGUUCCUGAAAUAGACGAGUGGGUUUCUAGGAAAACUGCCCAUUUCCCUUUUAGUGUAUAAAAUAUAGCCAGCUGUUGUUAGGCAAAUGCAUCAGACAUUAUUAUUGCUCUGUUAACAGUGUUUUAAAAUAUACAAACAGAAGAAUAGGAUGCCUUCUGGGUAGCAAGCUGGGAAAAGUUUGAGAUUAUGCUAAUCACACAUGCGUAUGCAUAGCAAGGUUAGGGGAACAAGGCUCGAACUUUCUGGCUCUGCUGUUUAACUGUGUUUCCCAGUAUGGUUUAGCUUUAUUUAAUUUUUGUAGGGGGCCAUGAGGAGAAAGACCCGGGACAGGAGAGCCCUUGGGCAGGAAGGAGUUAAUGAGCCUGGGGAGGCAGAGGGAGAAGGGGUUUAAGGGCUCCACCAGCUUACCUUCCCAGAGCCCUCCUGGCAGGCUCUGAGGACGUCACUUACAAUGGAGUUGUUAGCAUGAGAAAGAAAGCCUUUCUACCCCUGGAUGUACUUCAGUGGGAACUGAAAGUGUCUGAGAAAUCACGGUUCAGGCUUGUGCCAGUGGGUGCAAGGAGUGGUUCUUAUGGAGGAGAAAGCUCAGUUCAUUUAGACUUGGCAUAGAAAUCGGAUUCCAUUGUUUUGUGGCGUGAACAUUGAUAUGGAGAUUCCUGCCCAUCCCCCCAGCCCAUCAAUAGGAUACCCCAUUACAUGGGUCGCAUAUGCUUUUCUUUUUUCUUUCUUUCUCUUCUUUUUUUUUUUUUU